rnacentral:rRNA from 1 species
GACGGACGCUGGCGGCGUGCUUAACACAUGCAAGUCGAACGGAAAGGCCCCAGCUUGCUGGGGUACUCGAGUGGCGAACGGGUGAGUAACACGUGGGUGAUCUGCCCUGCACUCUGGGAUAAGCCUGGGAAACUGGGUCUAAUACCGGAUAGGACCGUGCUUUAGUGUGUGCGGUGGAAAGUUUUUCGGUGCAGGAUGAGCCCGCGGCCUAUCAGCUUGUUGGUGGGGUAAUGGCCUACCAAGGCGGCGACGGGUAGCCGGCCUGAGAGGGUGUACGGCCACAUUGGGACUGAGACACGGCCCAGACUCCUACGGGAGGCAGCAGUGGGGAAUAUUGCACAAUGGGCGCAAGCCUGAUGCAGCGACGCCGCGUGGGGGAUGACGGCCUUCGGGUUGUAAACCCCUUUCGGCAGGACGAAGCUUUUGUGACGGUACCUGCAUAAGAAGCACCGGCUAACUACGUG